rnacentral:lncRNA from 1 species
UCAAUCAAUACUUUUCCUAGAUACAUAUAAGUUUCAUAGAGAGUACUUUAUAAAAAUGAAUUCAAAGGCUUUACUUUUCCUAGCCAUGCUGUUGGCUACCAUCCUUCUUAUAUGUGCAGAGUCUGCACCCAAAGACUUGGACAACAAAGAUGGUAAUACUAGUUUUGAACAUUUAGUAUAAUUUCCACCAAUUAUUAUAUAUUUAUUUUAACUUUACUAAGUUUAAUAAAACUCUUAUUAUUUGUACGUUGUAUGGAAAUAAGCUAGCUUCAUUCUUAAAAAAACUUGAAAUGGCGACAUAAAUUUAGAGAUAGAAAAAGAAUGAAAAAUUUAGCGAUUAAUUAAAAAAUUUCCAUUUUUAAUUUUCGUCUUAAUUUUAACUUUUUAUAGUAGUGAUUUAUGUUGAGAAUUUUACUACAAUCUGAUUGUAUAUAUUUUCUUGAUUUGUAGAAAAAAUUGACACAAAUGGAUAUUAUGGAGGUGGAGGUUACGGUGGUCCAUGGCGUGGUGGCGGCUAUGGCGGUUGGGGCGGUGGUUAUGGAGGUAGGGGUGGAUAUGGUGGAUGGCGUGGUGGUGGAUGGCGUGGGGGUUGGGGUGGUGGUGGCUGGCGUGGGGGUUAUGGUGGCGGUCACGGCGGUUGGGGCGGUGGUUGGCCUAACGAACACCAUGAUGCUUAUACUGACGCUGAACCUCAUAACUAAGGAUGAACUUGAGCUGUUAGGGUUACUACUACAAUAAAUAAAACUUCAUGUGAAGUGUACUUAAUAGAAAAAAGAAAAAAUAUAUAAUAAAAAGUUAGAAUCAUGUGUUGUAUUGUACUUACUAAAUAAAUAACACUCACGUACCUUGUGUUUAUAUUUCUUUAGUGUUAAUGUCUUGUUUUCCUAUUUUGUAUAACCCUAAACCCUACACUCCAACACACAGUGGCAACUGAAG